GCAGUCAUAACCUAGUGGUUAAGGCGUUAGACUUGAAAUAUAAUCCCUGCUGGGGUCGCAGGUUCGAAUCCUGCUGACUGCG
rnacentral:tRNA from 1 species